GCGUUUUUGGACCUAAACGUAAAAACGUAAACUUUUGGGCCAAAGUGUAAAUACACAAAAGUAUCAAAACUUUAUGUAAUUGCAUAAAAGCCCCAAAAGUACUCCCAUUGAGGGAGUGGCCGGUUUUGGAGAGGGAAAGGAGUGAUGUGUGUGUUGAUUUGUGAGUUUUGACAUAAAGCAAGCAAGUGGUGCAAGUGGUGUGUGUGAAAGGGAAUUAAUCCUUUCACACCCACCAUUAUUUCUACCACCAUUUAAACAAAUAUCUAACACAUUAAAUCAUUUGAAAAACAUAAAACAUAAAAUUUAUGAAAUAAAUCAAAACUUUGAAUCAAAACACCAAACUUUUUGUUUUUGGCAAAAAUGUCAAGAACAAUGAAGAACACUCAUGAAAAACGCAAAAAAUUUCCAUGAACAUUUUUCACCCAAAAAAACAUCCCAAAACCAUUUAAACUUUAGGGAAAUAACAUAUAACCAAACUAGGGUACAUAGGGGUUCCAAAAAACACUUUAAAACACUUUUAACAAGUCAAGCAAGAACCCAAAAAUCCACCCUUUGGAUUUGGCCGAAUUUUCCCAAAAGCAUGGCACCAAAUUUUAGCUCCAAUAUUCAUGCUCAUAUGAACUACAUCUACAACAUUUGAGAUGGAAAAUUUUCUAACAAAAUUUACAUUCAAAGAAACAAGAAUAAAGCUUGUAACAUAUUACAACUUUUAAAUCACAA
rnacentral:lncRNA from 1 species